AGAGUUUGAUCCUGGCUCAGGAUGAACGCUGGCGGCGUGCCUAACACAUGCAAGUCGAGCGAUCUCUUCGGAGAGAGCGGCGGACGGGUGAGUAACGCGUGGGUAACCUGCCCUGUACACACGGAUAACAUACCGAAAGGUAUACUAAUACGGGAUAACAUACGAAAGUCGCAUGGCUUUUGUAUCAAAGCUCCGGCGGUACAGGAUGGACCCGCGUCUGAUUAGCUAGUUGGUAAGGUAAUGGCUUACCAAGGCAACGAUCAGUAGCCGACCUGAGAGGGUGAUCGGCCACACUGGAACUGAGACACGGUCCAGACUCCUACGGGAGGCAGCAGUGGGGAAUAUUGCACAAUGGGCGAAAGCCUGAUGCAGCAACGCCGCGUGAGCGAUGAAGGCCUUCGGGUCGUAAAGCUCUGUCCUCAAGGAAGAUAAUGACGGUACCCAAGGAGGAAGCCACGGCUAACUACGUGCCAGCAGCCGCGGUAAUACGUAGGUGGCGAGCGAUAUCCGGAUUUACUGGGCGUAAAGGGAGCGUAGGCGGAUGAUUAAGUGGGAUGUGAAAUACCCGGGCUCAACUUGGGUGCUGCAUUCCAAACUGGUUAUCUAGAGUGCAGGAGAGGAGAGUGGAAUUCCUAGUGUAGCGGUGAAAUGCGUAGAGAUUAGGAAGAACACCAGUGGCGAAGGCGACUCUCUGGACUGUAACUGACGCUGAGGCUCGAAAGCGUGGGGAGCAAACAGGAUUAGAUACCCUGGUAGUCCACGCCGUAAACGAUGAAUACUAGGUGUGGGGGUUUCAACACCUCCGUGCCGCCGCUAACGCAUUAAGUAUUCCGCCUGGGGAGUACGGUCGCAAGAUUAAAACUCAAAGGAAUUGACGGGGACCCGCACAAGUAGCGGAGCAUGUGGUUUAAUUCGAAGCAACGCGAAGAACCUUACCUACACUUGACAUCCCUUGCAUUACUCUUAAUCGAGGAAAUCCCUUCGGGGACAAGGUGACAGGUGGUGCAUGGUUGUCGUCAGCUCGUGUCGUGAGAUGUUGGGUUAAGUCCCGCAACGAGCGCAACCCUUGUCGUUAGUUACUACCAUUAAGUUGAGGACUCUAGCGAGACUGCCUGGGUUAACCAGGAGGAAGGUGGGGAUGACGUCAAAUCAUCAUGCCCCUUAUGUGUAGGGCUACACACGUGCUACAAUGGCUGGUACAGAGAGAUGCAAUACCGCGAGGUGGAGCCAAACUUAAAAACCAGUCUCAGUUCGGAUUGUAGGCUGAAACUCGCCUACAUGAAGCUGGAGUUACUAGUAAUCGCGAAUCAGAAUGUCGCGGUGAAUACGUUCCCGGGUCUUGUACUCACCGCCCGUCA
rnacentral:rRNA from 1 species